UACGACUACAUAUCAGGCAUAUCAAUAAGCGGAGGAAAAGAAACUAACAAGGAUUCCCUUAGUAACGGCGAGUGAAGCGGGAAGAGCUCAAAUUUGAAAUCUUCAAGGUUCUACCUUGACGAAUUGUAGUUUAAAGAAGUGUUUUCUGUUAGAUGAGUAGCAAAAGUUCCUUGGAAUGGGACAUCAUAGAGGGUGAGAAUCCCGUAUUUGGUUAUUCAUUCUAGCUUUGUGAUACACUUUCAAAGAGUCGGAUUGUUUGGGAAUGCAGUCCAAAAUGGGUGGUAAAUUUCAUCUAAAGCUAAAUAUUGGCGAGAGACCGAUAGCGAACAAGUACCGUGAUGGGAAAGAUGAAAAGAACUUUGAAAAGAGAGUUAAACAGUACGUGAAAUUGUCAAAAGGGAAGCGUUUGACACCAGUGUUGUUUUUCCGAAAAUCAAUUACGAAUGGCUUGAUUUUGUGUUGUAUUGACCUUAUCAGCUUUCUGCACUUUUUUCGAGUCUUUCUUAAUGCACUUUUCGGUUAACAAGUCAACAUCAAUUUCUUUUGUUGUAAAAGAGUAUUCGGAAGGUGGCUUUCUUUUCGGAGAAAGUGUUUAUAGCCCUAUACUUCUACAAUCGGAGAGAUUGAGGUCUGCAGCGUAGAUCCUUCGGGGUUAGAUACAUUUGUGCUAAGUUGUAGCUUUUCAUAGACAACUUGUUGACUAUGUUUAGUCAUGCGGCUUACUCGCUUAUGCUAUUUUACCUACGCUUAGGAUGUUGAGUAGCGACAUACGCC
rnacentral:rRNA from 1 species